rnacentral:rRNA from 1 species
CAGUCGCCACGGUAAUACGAAGGGUGCAAGCGUUACUCGGAAUUACUGGGCGUAAAGCGCACGUAGGCGGCUUGGUAAGUUAGAGGUGAAAGCCCAGGGCUCAACCCUGGAAUUGCCUUUAAGACUGCCGAGCUAGUAGGUGGGAGAGGUGAGUGGAAUUCCCAGUGUAGAGGUGAAAUUCGUAGAUAUGUGGAGGAACACCGAUGGCGAAGGCAGCCUCCUGGGAUAACACUGACGCUCAUGCACGAAAGCGUGGGGAGCAAACAGGAUUAGAUACCCGCGUAGUCCCUGUCUCUUAUAC